rnacentral:ribozyme from 1 species
AGGAAAAAAAAAAGAAAAAAGGAAAGAAGGAAAAAGCAAAGGCAGCACAGCGAAACCUGUGCUCAUCUCUUCCUUUUUCGCUCGUGUCUACCUCUAUCUUAUCCAU